AAAAUGAUUCAAAUUAAUGUCAAUAUUUGUACCAUAUUUAUGUUUUUUUUUUGUAUUUUUAGUCACUUGAAAGUAACAUGUGCCAAGGGAUUGGAUGGGACCACUCGCAUCUCUUUCCCAUGGAUGUCGCAAAAGGCGGCUAAGGAAUAGGCUUACAAAAUUGCGAUCCUUUUUUUAGGCGAUGGGCUAGCAACCUGUCACUAUUUGGAUCUCGAUACCAUCAUUAAGCCGAGUAGCUGAACGUGGCCGUUCAGUCUUUUCGGGACUAUUGGCUCUGUCUACCCCGUAAGGGAUAUAGACGUGACUAUAUGUAUGUAUGUAUGUAUGUAUGUAUGUAUGUAUGUAUGUAUGUAUGUAUGAUAAUAACACAACAUUAAUUCCAGGGUCCCAGCUGCGUGCUUCCCAUCAACGACAUCCGGGGUAUCGAGGGGGUAGGCAAGCUGGCCGCCGCCUACCGCCUGGUGGACCUGUUCGCUUGGAUCCAGAGGUCCCAGCUGCGUGCUUCCCAUCAACGACAUCCGGGGUAUCGAGGGGGUAGGCAAGCUGGCCGCCGCCUACCGCCUGGUGGACCUGUUCGCUUGGAUCCAGAGGUCCCAGCUGCGUGCUUCCCAUCAACGACAUCCGGGGUAUCGAGGGGGUAGGCAAGCUGGCCGCCGCCUACCGCCUGGUGGACCUGUUCGCUUGGAUCCAGAGGUCCCAGCUGCGUGCUUCCCAUCAACGACAUCCGGGGUAUCGAGGGGGUAGGCAAGCUGGCCGCCGCCUACCGCCUGGUGGACCUGUUCGCUUGGAUCCAGAGUGAGUGCCACUGAAUUGAUAUUUACAUGCAUAUGCAUGCACUCCAUCUAGUUCAAUAAGUUUUUACCUUUUGUAUCCAAUUUUGAAAAUAAAUCUAUUAUAUCUCUUUUCUAUGGAUGUCGUAAAAGGCGGCUAUCAUAUCAGUAUUUUCAAAACUAUUAUUUUUGCGUUGAAUAGACCAUUUAUCGAGGAAGGCUUUAGGCUGUAUAACAUCACGCUGCAACUAUAUGGAGCAAAGAAAUAAUGGAAUAUGUGAAAAAACAAAAAAAAAAGGGGAAAAUUAUUCAUAGGCCCAUAAUAACUAUUCCACAUAUCUAUAGAGCAAAAAUUUUAUUUGUCAAAACGAUUCAAAUUAAUGACAAUGUAUGUACCAUAUUUAUGUGUACUUCUUACCUUAAAAAAUUAAAUAAAAUCAAUUCAACAAACACAACUAACUAGGUUACUAACUAACUACUCACUCCUUACACAACACAAUUGAGUAUAAUAUCGGUUAGAGACCGGGUGAACGUUCGUGUAUCUGUACAAUUUAAAAGAGCUUUAGAUGUCGAUAAAAUGUAACAGGUUAAAAUGAAAACAACGCAA